rnacentral:rRNA from 1 species
UAGUCCACGCCGUAAACGGUGGGUACUAGGUGUGGGGGACAUUCCACGUUCUCCGUGCCGCAGCUAACGCAUUAAGUACCCCGCCUGGGGAGUACGGCCGCAAGGCUAAAACUCAAAGGAAUUGACGGGGCCCCGCACAAGCGGCGGAGCAUGCGGAUUAAUUCGAUGCAACGCGAAGAACCUUACCUGGGUUUGACAUAUGCCGGAAACAUCCAGAGAUGGAUGCCCCUUUUUGGUCGGUUUACAGGUGGUGCAUGGCUGUCGUCAGCUCGUGUCGUGAGAUGUUGGGUUAAGUCCCGCAACGAGCGCAACCCUCGUCCUAUGUUGCCAGCGGGUAAUGCCGGGGACUCAUAGGAGACCGCCGGGGUCAACUCGGAGGAAGGUGGGGAUGGACGUCAAGUCAUCAUGCCCCUUAUGUCCAGGGGCUUCACGCAUGCUACAAUGGGCCGGUACAAA